rnacentral:rRNA from 1 species
UACAGAGGUCCCAAGCGUUGUUCGGAUUCAUUGGGCGUAAAGGGUGCGUAGGCGGCGCGCUAAGUCGGGUGUGAAAUUUCGGAGCUUAACUCCGAAACUGCAUUCGAUACUGGCGUGCUUGAGGACUGGAGAGGAGACUGGAAUUCAUGGUGUAGCAGUGAAAUGCGUAGAGAUCAUGAGGAAGACCAGUGGCGAAGGCGGGUCUCUGGACAGUUCCUGACACUGAGACACGAAGGCCAGGGGAGCAAACGGG